GAUGAACGCUAGCGGCAGGCCUAACACAUGCAAGUCGAGGGGUACAGUUCUUCGGAACUAGAGACCGGCGCACGGGUGCGUAACGCGUAUGCAAUCUACCUUUUACAGGGGAAUAGCCCAGAGAAAUUUGGAUUAAUGCCCCAUAGUGUUAUAGAAUCGCAUGGUUUUAUAACUAAAGUUCCAACGGUAAAAGAUGAGCAUGCGUCCCAUUAGUUAGUUGGUAAGGUAACGGCUUACCAAGACAAUGAUGGGUAGGGGUCCUGAGAGGGAGAUCCCCCACACUGGUACUGAGACACGGACCAGACUCCUACGGGAGGCAGCAGUGAGGAAUAUUGGACAAUGGGCGCAAGCCUGAUCCAGCCAUGCCGCGUGCAGGAAGACGGUCCUAUGGAUUGUAAACUGCUUUUGUACAGGAAGAAACACUCCCUCGUGAGGGAGCUUGACGGUACUGUAAGAAUAAGGAUCGGCUAACUCCGUG
rnacentral:rRNA from 1 species